rnacentral:rRNA from 1 species
GAUGAACGCUAGCGGCAGGCUUAACACAUGCAAGUCGAGGGGUAACACGGGUGCUUGCACUUGGUGACGACCGGCGAACGGGUGCGUAACGCGUAUAGAAUCUGCCUCAUACAGGAGGAUAGCCUUUAGAAAUGAAGAUUAAUACUCCAUGGUCUUAUUGGUUGGCAUCAAUUAAUAAGUAAAGAUUUAUUGGUAUGAGAUGACUAUGCGUCCUAUUAGUUAGUUGGUGAGGUAACGGCUCACCAAGACAGCGAUAGGUAGGGGGUCUGAGAGGAUUAUCCCCCACACUGGUACUGAGACACGGACCAGACUCCUACGGGAGGCAGCAGUGAGGAAUAUUGGACAAUGGGUGAGAGCCUGAUCCAGCCAUGCCGCGUGCAGGAAGACUGCCCUAUGGGUUGUAAACUGCUUUUAUACAAGAAGAAACCUACUUACGUGUAAGUAGCUGAUGGUAUUGUAUGAAUAAGCACCGGCUAACUCCGUGCCAGCAGCCGCGGUAAUACGGAGGGUGCAAGCGUUAUCCGGAAUCAUUGGGUUUAAAGGGUCCGCAGGCGGUCGAUUAAGUCAGAGGUGAAAUCUCACAGCUUAACUGUGAAACUGCCUUUGAUACUGGUUGACUUGAGUUAUAUGGAAGUAGAUAGAAUAAGUAGUGUAGCGGUGAAAUGCAUAGAUAUUACUUAGAAUACCGAUUGCGAAGGCAGUCUACUACGUAUUGACUGACGCUCAUGGACGAAAGCGUGGGGAGCGAACAGG